CAAGUACAAACUGUUUUCACAACUCAAG
rnacentral:sRNA from 1 species